AGAGUUUGAUCCUGGCUCAGGAUGAACGCUAGCUACAGGCUUAACACAUGCAAGUCGAGGGGCAGCAUGGUCUUAGCUUGCUAAGGCCGAUGGCGACCGGCGCACGGGUGAGUAACACGUAUCCAACCUGCCGUCUACUCUUGGACAGCCUUCUGAAAGGAAGAUUAAUACAAGAUGGCAUCAUGAGUCCACAUGUUCACAUGAUUAAAGGUAUUCCGGUAGACGAUGGGGAUGCGUUCCAUUAGAUAGUAGGCGGGGUAACGGCCCACCUAGUCUUCGAUGGAUAGGGGUUCUGAGAGGAAGGUCCCCCACAUUGGAACUGAGACACGGUCCAAACUCCUACGGGAGGCAGCAGUGAGGAAUAUUGGUCAAUGGGCGAGAGCCUGAACCAGCCAAGUAGCGUGAAGGAUGACUGCCCUAUGGGUUGUAAACUUCUUUUAUAAAGGAAUAAAGUCGGGUAUGCAUACCCGUUUGCAUGUACUUUAUGAAUAAGGAUCGGCUAACUCCGUGCCAGCAGCCGCGGUAAUACGGAGGAUCCGAGCGUUAUCCGGAUUUAUUGGGUUUAAAGGGAGCGUAGAUGGAUGUUUAAGUCAGUUGUGAAAGUUUGCGGCUCAACCGUAAAAUUGCAGUUGAUACUGGAUGUCUUGAGUGCAGUUGAGGCAGGCGGAAUUCGUGGUGUAGCGGUGAAAUGCUUAGAUAUCACGAAGAACUCCGAUUGCGAAGGCAGCCUGCUAAGCUGCAACUGACAUUGAGGCUCGAAAGUGUGGGUAUCAAACAGGAUUAGAUACCCUGGUAGUCCACACGGUAAACGAUGAAUACUCGCUGUUUGCGAUAUACUGCAAGCGGCCAAGCGAAAGCGUUAAGUAUUCCACCUGGGGAGUACGCCGGCAACGGUGAAACUCAAAGGAAUUGACGGGGGCCCGCACAAGCGGAGGAACAUGUGGUUUAAUUCGAUGAUACGCGAGGAACCUUACCCGGGCUUAAAUUGCAGAUGAAUUACGGUGAAAGCCGUAAGCCGCAAGGCAUCUGUGAAGGUGCUGCAUGGUUGUCGUCAGCUCGUGCCGUGAGGUGUCGGCUUAAGUGCCAUAACGAGCGCAACCCUUGUUGUCAGUUACUAACAGGUUCUGCUGAGGACUCUGACAAGACUGCCAUCGUAAGAUGUGAGGAAGGUGGGGAUGACGUCAAAUCAGCACGGCCCUUACGUCCGGGGCUACACACGUGUUACAAUGGGGGGUACAGAGGGCCGCUACCACGCGAGUGGAUGCCAAUCCCAAAAACCUCUCUCAGUUCGGACUGGAGUCUGCAACCCGACUCCACGAAGCUGGAUUCGCUAGUAAUCGCGCAUCAGCCACGGCGCGGUGAAUACGUCCCCGGGCCUUGUACACACCGCCCGUCAAGCCAUGGGAGCCGGGGGUACCUGAAGUGCGUAACCGCGAGGAGCGCCCUAGGGUAAAACUGGUGACUGGGGCUAAGUCGUAACAAGGUAGCCG
rnacentral:rRNA from 1 species